rnacentral:rRNA from 1 species
GACAGAGGGUGCAAACGUUGUUCGGAAUUACUGGGCGUAAAGCGUGUGUAGGCUGCCAUGUAAGUCGGAUGUGAAAGCCCCGGGCUCAACCCGGGAAGUGCACUCGAUACUGCAUGGCUCGAGUAUCGGAGAGGUUGGUGGAAUUCUCGGUGUAGAGGUGAAAUUCGUAGAUAUCGAGAGGAACACCGGUGGCGAAGGCGGCCAACUGGACGAAUACUGACGCUGAGACACGAAAGCGUGGGGAGCAAACAG